rnacentral:lncRNA from 1 species
GCCACCAUGGCCAGCUAAUUUUUUUGUAUUUUUAGUAGAGACAGGGUUUCACCAUGUUGGCCAGGCUGGUCUUGAUCUCCUGACCACAGGUGAUCCGCCUGCCUCCGCAUCCCAAAGUGUUGGGGUUACAGGCAUGAGCCACCGCGCCAGGCCACCUUUACGUUUUUUAAUCAGGGAAGUAAAGAAGGAAAGCAUUGGCUUUGGAAUCCCAAUCUUAGAUUUCAAGCCAAGCUUUGCCACAUCAGAACUGUGUGGUUUUGGGCAAGCCUCAGUUUUUGCAUAUGUGAAAUGGGGAUAACAAUAGCUCCUCCCUCUUGGGUUGUUGUGAAGAUGAAAGGAGACAACGUGUAAGCGUUUAGCACAGGACCUGGCACCCAGUAAGCUAUUUUUUGAUGAGGCCCAAAAAGCUCACUGUCCAUUUGACCACAGGACCCAGAUAUCUGACAGAAUCAUUAAGACCAUUCCUUGAAGUGGGAGUGUUGGUAAUGGUUUUAAUAUUUUAUCACCUGGCAGCGUCCUGUGGAAAACACUCAUUCGUAGCCUCUUCCUGUGCUUUGCCCAGCCUGCUAUUAACAGUCCCCAAAGCCUUCGUAAAAAGUAUGCUUCUCCAUAUGAUUUCCCAAAACUCGUAGUCAAUAGACAGGAUUGAUGUAUAGCUGGGUGAACAUCCUUUUCUCCUUGAGCUUUUACGGAGGAUGUGAGGGAAAGGGCUCUUCUUAUCAAAUGAGGGAGAAAAGACUCUCAAAGCCAUUAUGUGUCUGACACCAAUUCAAUUACCCCACCCAUGCCCUUUUCAGCUAAGCACUUCCUAAACUUCAUUAGUGCUGCAGCAAUGCUGCCAGCUGACACCGUACCCUUUACUGAAAAAUGUUGUACACAGAAGAGGACAAAUCUCCACUGCGGCAGGUCAUUGCGGCAUUCCUGCUUCCUGACUAAGGUGACCUGGGUCUUCCUCCCAGGCGGAGUGGAGGGUCCAGGUGAGGUUUCAGGGCUCAGUCGGAACCUGCCCCUGCCUGAUUCCCAUCACCCAGAGUUUCAAGUUAUCUUUCUAAAAAAAUCUUAAGGCCGGGUACGGUGGCUGACACCUGUAAUCCCAGCACUUUGGGAGGCUAAGGAAGGCGAAUCACUUGAGGUCAGGGGUUCGAGACCAGCCUGAGCAAUAUGGUGAAACCCCGUGUCUACCAAAAAUACAAAAAAAAUUAGCCAGGCAUGGUAGCACAUGUCUGUAGUCCCAGCUACUUGAGAGGCUGAGGCAGGAGGACCACUUGAGCCUGGGAAAUGGAGGUUGCAGUAAGCCGAGAUGACAGAGUGAGAUUCCAUCUCAAAAAAUAAAAAAUAGGACCGGGCGCAGUGGCUCACGCCUGUAAUCCCAGCAUUUUGGGAGGCUGAGGUGGGUGGAUCACAAGAUCAGGAGAUCAAGACCAUCCUGGCUAACACGGUGAAACCCCAUCAGUACUAAAAAUACAAAAACAAAAUUAGCUGGGCGUGGUGGCGGGCGCCUGUAGUCCCAGCUACUUGGGAGGCUGAGUCAGGAGAAUGGCGUAAACCUGGGAGGCGGAGCUUGCAGUGAGCCGAGAUCGCACCACUGCACUCCAGCCUGGGAACAGAGCGAGACUCUGUCUCAAAAAAAAAUAAAAUAAAAAAAUAAUAAUAAUAAUAAUAAAUAAAUAAAUAAAUAAUAAAAACACUUAAGACAUGGAGUUGUGUAUCCUACUUUGGCUUAUUUCUCAUAGGGAAAACAGCACUAUGUUCUAUCCCACUGCCCCAGCAGAGCCCAGCCUCCCCAACCAUAAACGCUGGUGUACUUGUCUGUUGGACCAAAGAUUAUAAGAGGCUUGAGGAAAGGUGACGGUGCCUUACUCAUGCAUGCAGCAUCCACCAAUGCCCGACUGCCAGUGGGUGGUGAGUAGAUACCAGGAGACUGAGUUCUUAGAGCUAUGGUCCUGGACCCAAGGGAAGGAUCUUGGAAGCCCUGUUGGUUAUGGAGGAUAGAGCUGCUUGCCUUUGAAAAGACCAAUGGACUUGGACCAUGAACAUAAAGUUGCAUUAUCCAUGAUGGACUGGAGACCAGAGACCCUUCCCUUCCCAGGCACCUGUAAGUUGCUGGACUCACGUGUAGCCAUGGGUGAAAAGAAGACCUGCCUCUUGAAAUAUGACUGAGAUCAAAUUCCUUGCCACCAUGGCAGGUGGGAGCUUGGAGUACUGAGUAAGUGUCUGUACAACGAUGGAUGACCAGUACCAAGGCCUUGCAAGAUCUUCAACCAUCAAAUGAAAAUUCAACUUCUUUUCAUAAGUUCCAAGGCAGAGGGUAGGCUCUCCCUAUUUAGAAAACUGUUUAUCCCUAUUAGAAAGCAGAAAUUCUUCCUUGUACCUCACAUUAUGCCCCUCCUCAACCCCUCCACUGGCUUCUCAUCUCUGAAUAAAUAUCCGAAGUUCUUAUCUUGGCCUUCCAGUCCUAGGAGAUCUGGCCCCCACUCACUCUCUGACCUCAUCUCCUAACACGCUCCCCCUCUUUUAUUCCCUUGAGCCACAAUGUUCCCCUCGUGUGCCUCCUUGUUCCUGCCUCAGAAUGUUUGCCCUUGCUGUUUCUUCUGCCUGAACGCUCAGCCCUGGGAUCUCCGCAUGGCUUUAUCCCUCACUUCCUGCUAGUCUCUGCUCACAAGUCACCUCUUUAGAAAAGCCUUCCCGGAUCACUUUAUCUAACAGAGUAUCCCUCUCUCAGCCUUGCCACCCCACACUUUUUGUUUACCAUACUUUAUUUCUCUCCAAAGUCCUUAGCUGACAUAUACAUGAUAUAGUUAUUACAUUUGUCUGUAGUCUGUUUCCCCCAGAUUUUAUUUUACUGACUUUGGAAUCCCCAAUGCCUAGAACAGUAUCUGGCACAUAGUAAGGAUUCAAGAAAUAUUUGUUGAAUUAAAUAAGUGAAUUUAUCCAGCAAAUACAACUGCCCCAGGCCACCACACUCCAUGGAUAUUCCCCUGAAGUGAGAUUUGAUUGGGCAUGAGCUGCAGAAACAGGAUAGAGUGCUGGAGCUGGAAGAGACCUUGGGAUCACUGACUUCUGCCCUUUCACAGGGCUGCCGGGGCACACAGGGUGUAAACCUGCCGUGAGGCCUGGGGCUUUCCUGUGAUCUUAAGGAGGCUGCCUUGUUGAGGGAGAUGCCCAGCCCAGUGGCUCUGCGGUGUCUUCUCCAACAUCACUGGGCGGGAGCACAAGGGAAAUUCCUUAGGCAGUGAGAGCUACCCGAGAAAAUAAACUUGGGAAACCCAGGUUCUGCGGAUCUCUUACUUCUCAGGGCUGCAGGUAAGUUUCUGUGUGUUGCGAUUCUCUGAGAUGAAAUGACUGUACAUCUCAUUUCUCAAACUUUUUUUUAAGCCUUUUUUCUGGUGAAUCCUUUUAUGGGAUUUGUCUUUCCAGGGACACAUUUGGGAAAACGCUGCUUUUUUGCCUUUUUACUGGCUGAAGCACCUUCUGAACAGGCAUGGGGAAGCUACAGGGGUCAGUGGCUUUUGUUAGCUAAAGAACCCAGAGAUGGGACUUUUCCUUUCCUUAAGGCCAGGGCUUGCCAGCUCCUCCCAUCUUUUAGAGGAACCCCAAAGCAUACCCUUUUCUACAUUCUGCUACCCCCUGGCCCCCCCCAGACCUGAAAUGGCUCCCUUCAGUCUCUCUUUUCUUCAGCCCCCCAACACUUGUCUCACCAGGCCCAGCUUUUCCUUCUGGAUGUCGCUUGCCGCCCGCCUAUCCUCCCACCUGCCUCCUGAGGCCUGGUUUGGAGGUUCUCCUCCUUCCAGGAGCCCAGCGCUGCCUCUAGGAGAGAGAAUUAUCCUGGAAACUCCCCCUUCUCCCUGCCUGACAGCAGCCCCUGCUGAACUCCACAGCCGCAGCUGGGAGCCAUUUAAAUAGCUGAUGCAGGGUGGGCUGGUGGCUACUGCCUGUAAUCCCACACUUUGGGAGGCUGAGGUGGGAGCACUGCUUCAGCCUAGGAGUUCAAAACCAGCCUGGGCACUAUAGCAAGGACCCUGUCUCUAAAAAAGAAAAAAAAUAGCUGAUCUGCAUCUGAAAGGAGAUAAGCAGUUUCCUGAGCGGUAUACUGUGCAGUAUCCAGCUUCGUAAACUAAGGGCAUACACACUGUAGACAUGUCCAUGCAUAUCUGCACAAGGAAAGAAAACGCAUGGAGGUGAGGGUGUUGGUGGCUAACUCUGGGUGGUGGGAUUUGGGGUGAUUUUUUUCUCCUGCGUUGCUUAGCUGUGCUUUUAAAUUUUAUUUUUUCACGUAUGUUUGCAACAACGAAAACUCAUGAUAAGUGUCAAUAAAUCGGCAGCUCUCGUUUGGUUCCUCAUUAGCUGUGUAACCUCAAACAAAGUACUUAACCUCUCAGGCUCCUCAUCUCAAAUACAUCCCACCUCCCUCCUCCUCUGAGAUGCCGCGGGAUUCAUCUCUCUCCCACAGCCAGAUUGCAAGCAGCUAGAGAGCAGGCAGGUGAGUGUCUUCCCCCCUACAGACUCCCGUUUCCCCCGCAUGCCCAUGUGGUGCCUGGAGCGCUGCAGCAUUGUGAUUUUUUUAUUAUUGCAGGUGCUAAAUAAAUCCUCAGUGACUGAGCCCGGAGCCAAACACAUUUAUCCUUGUCAUCCAUCCAAUUCUGUGCAGCUGGGAUGGAGCCCAAGGCGCUGAGGACAACAUAAAUCUGCUCUUUGGGCCACACCCAUUUCUUCUCCAAGCAGAUGUGGUAGCCGGGAGCCAAGUCUUGGGGGCUCAGCGCUGGGCUGAGAAGGGGACGAGCUCCAGGCCCGGUGAGUUGGAAGUCUCGGAGAAAGGCUGACUGGCUUCACCUCGCCUCCGCCGCCCAGGGGCUGUGUGAGCAGGCUUUGGCAGCGAUUUCUCCAGCAGGAAGGGAUGAAGCCCUGACCAGGUUCAGAGGCAGCGGGUCAGGACCGUGCCUGGGCUCAGUCCCGCCCUGGCUCCUUCGCUUCUCGCCGCUGUGAGCCUGGGCAGUGGCUUCGCUGCUCUGGGCCCCACUUUCCUCAAGCGUUAGCAGGACAGUGGCACUCUAUUUUGGAAUCUCAUGAGAAUAAAAUGAGAUGAUGCAUGGACAACCUGCACAUAGCAAGUGCUAAUAAUUACCAUCUCUUAAGUUGGUUUGAAGGUCCAAAGCCAGUCCCUAAUUGAGUAGCCUCCGGUAGCUCAAAGUACAUGGCUGGCUUAAGGCCUGGGAUCCUUUCCCAGUGCUAACCGAGCUGCCAUAAAUGUAACUCAUGGAAAGCAAGCUCCAGGUCUGACAUGGGCGGGGCCCAUCCUGCUGAGAUACAGUACAGCCUCAAGUGGAUUUAUUAACCCAAAGAAACUAGCAGCACAACUUGUGUGCUGACACCUGCUAGUCACUUCAUACCUCACGAUCCCCUUUUCACGGAACAGGACAUCCAUCUAGGCACAGAGAGGAUAAGGUUCUGCCCAAAGCCACACAGCAUGAUAAAUGGCGGAACUUGGGUCUAAAUACUGCAUCAGAAGACAGUAUCUCUGCUCACCCCUAUUUUGUUUUGCAACCUCUGGAAUUUUCCAUUCCAUUUGUUUAACGCCACUUAUAAUGAAGGCCUCCUCAUGCAUCUUGAGAAGGCAUGUGUUCAGUGGUACAGUAUACAAACUCACUUCUCCCACAUGCUGGCCGCACUAAGUGCCACACCUUGAAAUAAUUCUGAGACAUUCUUCUUAGGAUAUUUGUGGCAUAAGGAGGAAGCCCUUGGUGCCUUCGUGCAGCUGUGUUCCUCUAGGAUAGCAAUUGUGAUAAAGACCCAGGGCCGGCUGGUGACUGAAACGGGAGUGGUUUCUACCAAAUCCUGUGAGCAAUUUAGACUCUCUUGGGUAUUCCCUAAACAGUCAUCAUCAGACUGGGAGGAGAGAGCAAAUAUUACCUGAAAUGAGGCCGCUUGGUGGAAGACAUUGGAGAAACACAGCUGGAAAGAUGGACGCUCUGCGGUUCAGAAACACUGGAGUUUCACAUUUGACCUCUGGCUUUCAUGUGAGAUGAAAGGACAGAACACUUUUCCAAAGUUAUUUUCUCUUUACAUGAGUUCAAGGGCUGUGGUGAAAGUGAGGAAUCCAAAGUCUACCCAGACUACUUCCUCUUAUUUUGAUUUAUGCCAGUGGUUUAUAACUUUUUAUAAUAAAUAUUUUGUAAACUCCCUUUAACAUCCCAG